GAUGAAGAACGUAGCGAAAUGCGAUACUUGGUGUGAAUUGCAGAAUCCCGUGAACCAUCGAGUCUUUGAACGCAAGUUGCGCCCGAAGCCAUUAGGCCGAGGGCACGCCUGCCUGGGCGUCACACGUCGUUGCCCCCCCAUCUACUCCUUCGGGAUUGCGGGGGGCGGAUGAUGGCCUCUCGUGCGCCUCGUCGCGCGGUUGGCCUAAAUGCCAAGUCCUCGGCGACGCACGCCACGACAAUCGGUGGUUGCGAAACCUCGGUUGCCUGUCGUGUGCGGUCGUCGCGCAUCGAGGGCUCGAAAAAAUUGCCGGGUUCCGGCUCGGCUUUCAACGCGACCCCAGGUCAGGCGGGGUUACCCGCUGAAUUUAAGCAUAUCAAUAAGCGGAGGA
rnacentral:misc_RNA from 1 species